UACAGAGGAGCCAAGCGUUGUCCGGAUUGACUGGGCGUAAAGCGCACGCAGGCGGGGGGGCGCGUGGGGUGUGAAAUCUGGCCGCUUAACGGCCAGGCGCCAUCCCAUACGGCGCGCCUGGAGCCUUGCAGAGGUCGGUGGAAUUGCCGGUGUAGUGGUGAAAUGCGUAGAUAUCGGAAGGAACAUCAGUGGCGAAAGCGACUUCCUGGACCAGUACCGACGUUCAGGCACGAAAGCGUGGGGAGCAAACAGG
rnacentral:rRNA from 1 species